CCACAAAGCUAAAUUAUCCACCUCAGCUGGUCUCCUCUGUAUCCAAAAGUCCAACCUCUGCAGUUUUGGGGACAGAGCCUUCUCCAGGGCAGCUCCCAGGCUCUGGAACUCCCUCUCCCAAGAGAUCUGCACCUCUGAGUCCCUCUCCAUCUUCCAGUCCUGCCUCAAGACCCAUCUCUUCACCUCUGCCUAUCCGUAGCCCCCCGCCCCCCUCCCCUUUUCAUCUGUGCCUGAAUCUUGUUUUGUUUUGUUCUGUUUUUGUAAUCUACCUCCCCUGUAAAGCGACUUUGAGUCUUUGAAAA